rnacentral:rRNA from 1 species
AGAUUAAGUUAUUAAGGGCGCACGGUGGAUGCCUUGGCACUAGAAGCCGAUGAAGGACGUUACUAACGACGAUAUGCUUUGGGGAGCUGUAAGUAAGCUUUGAUCCAGAGAUUU